rnacentral:rRNA from 1 species
AACAGCCACUGUUACUUGAUCUUGACUAUCCUACUUGGAUAACUGUGGUAAUUCUAGAGCUAAUACAUGCAAACAAGCUCCGACCUUACGGGACGAGCGCAUUUAUUAGACCAAAACCAAUCGGGCUUCGGCCUGAGACGUUGGUGACUCUGAAUAACUGAGCUGAUCGCAUGGUCUUUGUACCGGCGACGUAUCUUUCAAGUGUCUGCCUUAUCAACUUUCGAUGGUAGUUUAUGUGCCUACCAUGGUUGUUACGGGUAACGGAGAAUAAGGGUUCGACUCCGGAGAGGGAGCCUGAGAAACGGCUACCACAUCCAAGGAAGGCAGCAGGCGCGCAAAUUACCCACUCUCGGCACGAGGAGGUAGUGACGAAAAAUAACGAGGCGGUUCUCUAUGAGGCCCGCUAUCGGAAUGAGUACAAUUUAAACCCUUUAACGAGGACCUAUGAGAGGGCAAGUCUGGUGCCAGCAGCCGCGGUAAUUCCAGCUCUCAAGGUGUAUAUCGCCAUUGCUGCGGUUAAAAAGCUCGUAGUUGGAUCUGCGCCUUCGGACUCGGUCCGCCCAACGGGUGUGAACUGGGAUCCAAGGCUUAUACUGCUGGUUUUCUCUUGAUGCUCUUUACUGGGUGUCUUGAGUGGCUAGCGAGUUUACUUUGAAAAAAUUAGAGUGCUCAAAACAGGCUAACGCCUGAAUACUCGUGCAUGGAAUAAUAGAAUAAGACCACGGUUCUAUUUUAUUGGUUUUCGGAACUGUGAUAAUGGUUAAGAGGGACAGACGGGGGCAUUCGUAUCGCUGCGUGAGAGGUGAAAUUCUUGGACCGCAGCGAGACGCCCUACUGCGAAAGCAUUUGCCAAGAAUGU